UACGUAGGCGGAAAAUUAAGUCAGUGGUGAAAUCCUGCAGCUUAACUGUAGAACUAUCAUUGAUACUGGUUUUCUUGAAUACAGUUGAGGUAAGCGGAAUGUGUAAUGUAGCGGUGAAAUGCUUAGAUAUUACACAGAACACCGAUUGCGAAGGCAGCUUACUAAACUGUUAUUGACGCUGAGGUACGAAAGCGUGGGGAGCGAACAGGAUUAGAUACCCUGGUAGUCC
rnacentral:rRNA from 1 species